GCCGGAGUAGCUCAGUGGCAGAGCAACGGUAUCGUAAACCGUGGGUCGCGAGUUCGACUCUCGCCUCCGGCU
rnacentral:tRNA from 1 species